rnacentral:lncRNA from 1 species
UGAAUCAGCAAACAUGUUGAAGACAGUAGAGGAUCUUGAAGUUUCAAGAAGGUAUUGGUCUUUUUAUAAGAUUCAACCCCCCACCAAAAUAUAUAUUGGGGUUAAAAUAUAAGAUAAGUCCAUGUACUCUUAAAAAUUUUGAUCCAUCUUUGUCUCUCACUGUGAUGGACAUUAAAGGCUUUCUGCUAUGCAGCAAUAAGCUCCAGUUGCAGGCUUUUUGGCAUAUGUAGAAUUAUCUCGGCAGUCACAAAUGCUUUUGCUUGCCAAGGAUGUUUCUGGUCUACUUAGAUGAACAAUGCUUAUUUGUUUUUUUGUUUUCUUUUAACUAUAAAUGAUAAGAAUGGAGUCUUAAUGACAAUUAUUAUCAAUGUUCUUUUACUCAGUUUCUAGUGCUGCAAGUGUGAGCUAAGAAGAAAAGCUAUUUUUUUUCUUGUUUGUAAAAUUGCUAAAACGUGUGUGCUUAUGAUAGUACUUUGUCCCAGCACUGUUCAUUUAAGGAAAAGCUUCAUUAAAUCCUGAUUCAGCUGGAUAAGAUAAAACCGUGUUCAUAAAAUUUCGACAAAUUUAUCUAUUUUGUAGUGUUAUUUUGCACUGCAGUCUAUCGUCUAGAGCAACACCUGUUUCUUUUAUUAUAAUUAUUUUUAUGGCCUAGCCAUAAUCGAGAAGGCUGCAUAGUUACUGGUUUUGUUUCAUUGUUUGUUCUUGGUUACCACCAUUUCAAGUCAAUUUGUAAAUUCUAUUUUAGUAACUUUGCUUGUUAAGUGUACAUUAAUCCUUUUAAAUGUCGCUUAAAAUUACCAAUUAUUUUAUAUUUGCUUGCCUUGUUGCUGCUACAG